rnacentral:rRNA from 1 species
AGGGCACCACCAGGAGUGGAGCCUGCGGCUUAAUUUGACUCAACACGGGAAAACUUACCCGGCCCGGACACUGGAAGGAUUGACAGAUUGAGAGCUCUUUCUUGAUUCAGUGGGUGGUGGUGCAUGGCCGUUCUUAGUUGGUGGAGUGAUUUGUCUGGUUAAUUCCGAUAACGAACGAGACUCUAGCCUACUAAAUAGACCAGAGGCUUCUUAAAACACGUCUCUGGCUGCUUCUUAGAGGGACAGGCGGCGAUUCAGCCGCACGAAACAGAGCAAUAACAGGUCUGUGAUGCCCUUAGAUGUCCGGGGCCGCACGCGCGCUACACUGAAGUGAUCAGCGUGCUUUUUGUACCCUGCUCUGCCAAGAGUGGGUAACCCAAUGAACCUUCUCCGUGAUUGGGAUAGGGGAUUGUAAUUAUUCCCCUUGAACGAGGAAUUCCCAGUAAGCGCGAGUCAUAAGCUCGCGUUGAUUACGUCCCUGCCCUUUGUACACACCGCCCGUCGCUACUACCGAUUGAA